GGUCUGAGAGGACGACCAGCCACACUGGAACUGAGACACGGUCCAGACUCCUACGGGAGGCAGCAGUGGGGAAUUUUGGACAAUGGGCGCAAGCCUGAUCCAGCAAUGCCGCGUGCAGGAAGAAGGCCUUCGGGUUGUAAACUGCUUUUGUACGGAACGAAACGGUCUGGGUUAAUACCUCGGGCUAAUGACGGUACCGUAAGAAUAAGCACCGGCUAACUACGUGCCAGCAGCCGCGGUAAUACGUAGGGUGCAAGCGUUAAUCGGAAUUACUGGGCGUAAAGCGUGCGCAGGCGGUUUUGUAAGACAGUCGUGAAAUCCCCGGGCUCAACCUGGGAAUUGCGAUUGUGACUGCAAAGCUGGAGUGCGGCAGAGGGGGAUGGAAUUCCGCGUGUAGCAGUGAAAUGCGUAGAUAUGCGGAGGAACACCGAUGGCGAAGGCAAUCCCCUGGGCCUGCACUGACGCUCAUGCACGAAAGCGUGGGGAGCAAACAGGAUUAGAUACCCUGGUAGUCCACGCCCUAAACGAUGUCAACUGGUUGUUGGGUCUCUUCUGACUCAGUAACGAAGCUAACGCGUGAAGUUGACCGCCUGGGGAGUACGGCCGCAAGGUUGAAACUCAAAGGAGUUGACGGGGACCCGCACAAGCGGUGGAUGAUGUGGUUUAAUUCGAUGCAACGCGAAAAACCUUACCCACCUUUGACAUGUACGGAAUUUGCCAGAGAUGGCUUAGUGCUCGAAAGAGAGCCGUAACACAGGUGCUGCAUGGCUGUCGUCAGCUCGUGUCGCGAGAUGUUGGGUUAAGUCCCGCAACGAGCGCAACCCUUGUCAUUAGUUGCUACAUUCAGUUGGGCACUCUAAUGAGACUGCCGGUGACAAACCGGAGGAAGGUGGGGAUGACAUCAAGUCCUCAUGGCCCUUAUAGGUGGGGCUACACACGUCAUACAAUGGCCGGUACAAAGGGUCGCAAACCCGCGAGGGGGAGCCAAUCCAUCAAAGCCGGUCGUAGUCCGGAUCGCAGUCUGCAACUCGACUGCGUGAAGUCGGAAUCGCUAGUAAUCGUGGAUCAGCAUGUCACGGUGAAUACGUUCCCGGGUCUUGUACACACCGCCCGUCACACCAUGGGAGCGGGUCUCGCCAGAAGUAGUUAGCCUAACCGCAAGGAGGGCGAUUACCACGGCGGGGUUCGUGACUGGGGUGAAGUC
rnacentral:rRNA from 1 species